CAAUUGUAAAGCGCUUUGGAUAAAAGUGCUAUAUAAAUGCAGCCCAUUUACCAUUCUACCGAGACUGCUUGAUUUGAUAUGAGUAGAACCCAUAGAGGUAAAUGUCACGACAGUCUCAUCACCACUAAUGCCUACCAACCUGCAGCAAAAAAUACAGCAAGAACUGUGUCUAACCAUAGGACACACAUCAAGUUUGACCUGCUUAAUAUUAGAUUACUCUCCACCAAGGCAGUUCUCCUUAAUGGGCUAAUCACUGAUUACACACUUGAUGCCCUCUCUCUCGCUCAAACAUGGUUCAGGCCUGAGGAGUUACAUUCCCCUAAACAAGACGUCUCCACGAGGCUACACCAGCAGUCAGACCACAUGUGUAACUGGUAAAGGUGGGGAUUUGCUGAGAUAUCUGAUGCCACCUUCAGUCGCCCAUUAAAAACUAAGUACGUGUUUUCAUCUAUUGAGGUCAUGGUUAUGGACUUCAUGCUGGUAUUUACAAAAAAAGUGACUAUAAACAAACCGUCUGUUCCCUAUGAAUGUUCCUUAUGGAAUUUUACAAUUUCUUGUCAGCUCUUGCAACCAUGGCUGACAGUGUUGUGAUUUUAGGUUAUUUUAGCCUCUUAAGUCAGCCAGAGUGUGUUAAUUUGAAUUCAUUCAGUUUUUUUAAGGUGAAAUUUUAGAUCAGCCUGGUCACACGAUAUACUGUUUGAAAGUGUUAAAAUUCAGGAUUCUAUCUCUUUGAACUAUUUUACAGUGCCAAAGGUAUUUUGUAACAUAUGGGGUGGCAAAACAAGCUUUCCUCGCCAUCUAUGCAUUUUGAAAAUCCACAGACGACAUGAAUCACGGUAAAAUUCGUUAUUUUAUCAAGGAUCCAGCGAACAAUGUCCACAGUGAUUUUUAGUCCAAAAAAACCUUAACUCACAGAAGCAUUGACAGAAUGUGCAUUAUUUACUUCCUGAGGAAUUAUCAUUGUUGUCUUUGUUGCCAGUGGUGAGAUGUUAUAGUGACAACUGAAAAGCACUUUAGCUGAUGAAAUUACAUUUCUAUCGAUAUAUAGUUUGUUAGGCUUGCAUGAAAGCACACAUACUGUUUCUCCUGCUUAAACAAACCGUAAGUUUUUCAGUAUACAUGCUAAAAAUUUUGUGCACCAGUGAGUAAAGUUCUUAAGGCUUUAUGCCUAAAAAGUUGCUGUUUUACAAUAAAAAUGAUUUUGCAAUGCCUAGUUCUAAACAGAAGACUUGAAAUUUGGAGGCUUUGGAAGAAUUCACUCAUCUGAGGAGGAUAGCUUUGACUCCAGAGCAGAGGGCAUAUAUAACGACAUGAUCCCAUUUUAUAUCAGUGAGAAUGUAAAUACAUUCUCAAAAUAUAUUUAUUAUUCGGAAUGCAUAUAAAUAAGGAGUAGGCCUGAUUUUGAAUAAUAAAUUUAGCACGUGAAAUUGUGGGAUGUAUUUGACAUUGAUGGGGGUGGGGUAUUUGACAAAAACUUUAAUCAAUGGACCUCAAUCAAUGGAUUAGUAAACUAGUUAUUGUUAAUAUAGUUCUUUUCUACAAUCUUCCAGACCUGCUGCUGCCAGAGGUGGCAAGGGGAGAGCAAGGAGAGGAAGGUGAAGAGGGUGGGAUCGCAGAGGAAGAGAGGAGGACAGUGACAGGCAGCAGAAAAGAGAGCGAAUGGAGCCUGGAUCUUGUUUAUAAGUAUAAUGACUUGGUGUCCAUGCUAAUGGACCCUGGACUUCGUUGCACCUUUCCAGAGGAAAAGUCCAGCCAAAAGAAGUUAGCCCCUUGCUACAACAGAAACACACAGGCCCUCAAGAAGGCCUCAAAAGAAAAAUGGCAUCCCAUCAUAGGCCUGCUAGUUCCAUGGAUCCUAUCCUAGGCCUGCUUCAGAAGAGUUCCGUGGAUCCUAUUCUAGACCUGCUAGUUUCCUGGAUCUUAUCCAAGGCCUGCUAGUUUCCUGGAUCUUAUCCUAGGCCUGCUAGUUUCCUGGAUCCUAUCCUAAACCUACUAGUUUCCUGGAUCCUAUCCUGAGCCUGCUAGUUUCCCUGAUCCUAUCCUAGGCCUGCUAGUUUCCUGGAUCCAAUCCUAGGCCUGCUAGUUUCCUGGAUCCUAUCCUAGGCCUGCUAGUUUCCCGGAUCCUAUCCUAGGCCUGCUAGUUUCCUGGAUCCUAUGCUAAGCCUGCUAGUUUCCUGGAUCCUAUCCUAGGCCUGCUAGUUUCCUGGAUCCUAUCCUAGGCCUGCUAGUUUCCUGGAUCCAAUCCUACGCCUGCUAGUCCCAUGGAUAAUAUCAUAAGCCUGCUUCAGAAGAGUUCCCUGGAUCCUAUCCUAAGCCUGCUAGUUUCCUGGAUCCAAUCCUAGGCCUGCUUCAGGUUUGGGUCUCCCCUGCACUGAGCCAUGUAGCAUGCGGUGCAUGUUGGACAUUUUUAUAGCCUGUUGUAUGCAGUUUGACUGAGUCAAUCUGCAUUAUGCUGUUCUAGCUAAAGAAGCACCCAGCCCUGGGUCAUUGGAUGACUAACACAGAGAAAGAAAAUGACAAGUGAACUUUGUCAGCAGUGACUGUUAGAAUGUUACUGGACUUCCUGUGUGGAAAGCCUUCCAUUUCUGGGUUUGUCAAACGGUAUCUAAAAGGUCAUUGGGUGUGCGAUGGAUAUUGCUCAACACUUGCUCAGCUGAUAUUUCUCAGUAUGUUAACUGGUGAAUAAAAUUCCUUUUCCAUUUAGCUUUGCCUAAGCCUUUUGUUGAUAUAUUGCUUAUUUGAUGUACACUCAAAUAUAAUAAGGUGGUGUAAUUCCUGAGAAUUAAAUCAUAACUGUAAGGCAGGAAAAAAAUAAAUGUUCCAAAUUGAA